rnacentral:tRNA from 1 species
GCCUGGGUGGCUUAGUCGGUUGAGCGUCCGACUUCGGCUCAGGUCAUGAUCUCGCGGUCCGUGGGUUCAAGCCCCGCAUCAGGCU